AGCUGUUUUGGGACUACAACUCCCAUCAUCCCUAGCUAACAGAACCAGUGGUCAGGGAUGAUGGGAAUUGUAGUCCCAAAACAGCU